rnacentral:rRNA from 1 species
GACGGACGCUGGCGGCGUGCUUAACACAUGCAAGUCGAACGGAAAGGCCCUGCUUUUGUGUGGUGCUCGAGUGGCGAACGGGUGAGUAACACGUGAGUAACCUCCCCUUUACUUUGGGAUAACUUCAGGAAACUCGGUCUAAUACCGGAUAUGAUCUCCUGCUGCAUGGUGUGGCUUGGAAAGUUUCGGCGGUUGGGGAUGUACUCGCGGCUUAUCAGCUUGUUGGGGGGGUAGUGGCUUACCAAGGCUUUGACGGGUAGCCGGACUGAGAGGGUGACCGGCCACAUUGGGACUGAGAUACGGCCAAGAGUCCAACGGGAGGCAGCAGUGGGGAAUAUAGCAAAAUGGGCGGAAGCAUGAUGCAGAAACGCCGCGUGCGGGAUGACGGCCUUCGGGGUGUAAAAAGCUUGAGACUGUGACGAAGAGUGAGUGACGGUAAUGAGUAAAGAAGCACCGGCUAACUACGUG